UACGUAGGGUGCGAGCGUUAAUCGGAAUUACUGGGCGUAAAGCGUGCGCAGGCGGUCUGUUAAGACCGAUGUGAAAUCCCCGGGCUUAACCUGGGAACUGCAUUGGUGACUGGCAGGCUUUGAGUGUGGCAGAGGGAGGUAGAAUUCCACGUGUAGCAGUGAAAUGCGUAGAGAUGUGGAGGAAUACCGAUGGCGAAGGCAGCCUCCUGGGCCAACUCUGACGCUCAUGCACGAAAGCGUGGGGAGCAAACAGG
rnacentral:rRNA from 1 species